UACAGAGGUCCCAAGCGUUGUUCGGAUUCAUUGGGCGUAAAGGGUGCGUAGGUGGCGCCGUAAGUCGGGUGUGAAAUUUCGGGAGCUUAACUCCGAAACUGCAUUCGAUACUGCCGUGCUUGAGGACUGGAGAGGAGACUGGAAUUUACGGUGUAGCGGUGAAAUGCGUAGAUAUCGUAAGGAAGACCAGUGGCGAAGGCGGGUCUCUGGACAGUUCCUGACGCUGAGGCACGAAGGUCAGGGGAGCAAACGGG
rnacentral:rRNA from 1 species